rnacentral:snRNA from 1 species
GUGUUCAUGUUGGCAGCACAUAUGCUAAAAUGGAAAUUAUACAGAGAAAAUUAGCUUGGCCCCCUACACAGGGAUAAUAUGCAAAUUUGUGAAGCAUUCUAUAAUUUU